ACGCUCGACACCUACGGAGGCAGCAGUGGGGGAUAUUGCACAAUGGGGGAAACCCUGAUGCAGCAACGCCGCGUGAAGGAAGAAGGUCUUCGGAUUGUAAACUUCUGUCCUCAGGGAAGAUAAUGACGGUACCUGAGGAGGAAGCUCCGGCUAACUACGUGCCAGCAGCCGCGGUAAUCUGAGCGGGCUGGCAAGGC
rnacentral:rRNA from 1 species